CCAGGAGCGCGUGGCGAUCUCCUUCCUCUUGCUGUGCUGCCGGGCGUCGUACGCUGUGAGGGGGAGGAGAGGGAAGGGGAUUCAAUCAAACUUGACACACUGGAACCAUGAUAGGAGAAAUAGGAGAUAGUCCUGUAGGUGUGUGUAUGCGUGUGUCCCGCUCACAGUCGGGGGCCUGGUAGGUGUAUGUGUGUGUCUCUCUCACAGUCGGGGGCCUGGUAGGUGAGCAGCGAGGCCAGCUUCUUGUCCUCCUCCUUCUCGGCCAGCAGAGGGAUGGAGAGGUUGGUCCUCUUCCUCACCGCGUCGUCCUUCUCCUCCUGGUCGGCCCGCACCUUCUUCUCCGUCUGAGAGGCAGAGACUUCGCUAAAGAUCUCCUCCCGACAGCGAGCAAUGGGACCUCUCCGAACCCCUCGAAACUCAAGCCCU